rnacentral:rRNA from 1 species
GUCCUCUCGAAUAAUAUUAUGAGGUCUGGCCUGCUCACUGAUUAUUUUAAAGAGCCGCGGUAUUUUGACCGUGCAAAGGUAGCAUAAUCAUUAGUCUCUUAAUUAGGGGCUGGAAUGAAUGGCUUGACGAGAAAUUAACUGUCUCUUGAUAAUUUUUUGAAUUUAACUUUUAAGUCAAAAGGCUUAAAUUUUUCUUUAGGACGAGAAGACCCUAUAGAGCUUAAUAUUUAAAUUUUAUAUAUUUUUAUGUUAGUCUUUAUAUAUAUAAUGAAAAUAUUUUGUUGGGGUGACAUGAAAAAUUAAUAAACUUUUCAUCAUGACAUCAUUAAUUUAUGUUUUUUGAUCCAUAAUUUAUGAUCAUAAGAUUAAGUUACCUUAGGGAUAACAGCGUAAUUGUUUUUGAGAGCUCAUAUCGACAAAACAGAUUGCGACCUCGAUGUUGGAUUAAGAUUAGUUCUGGAUGCAGUAGUCCAGUAAUUAGGUCUGUUCGACCUUUAAAUUCUUACA